rnacentral:tRNA from 3 species
GGGCAGGUAGCUCAGUCGGUACGAGCGUCCGCCUGAAAAGCGGAAGGUCGGCGGUUCGACCCCGCCCCUGCCCACCG